GAUGAACGCUGGCGGCGUGCCUAAUACAUGCAAGUCGAGCGAACAGACGAGGAGCUUGCUCCUCUGACGUUAGCGGCGGACGGGUGAGUAACACGUGGAUAACCUACCUAUAAGACUGGGAUAACUUCGGGAAACCGGAGCUAUUACCGGAUAAUAUAUUGAACCGCAUGGUUCAAUAGUGAAAGACGGUUUUGCUGUCACUUAUAGAUGGAUCCGCGCCGCAUUAGCUAGUUGGUAAGGUAACGGCUUACCAAGGCAACGAUGCGUAGCCGACCUGAGAGGGUGAUCGGCCACACUGGAACUGAGACACGGUCCAGACUCCUACGGGAGGCAGCAGUAGGGAAUCUUCCGCAAUGGGCGAAAGCCUGACGAAGCAACGCCGCGUGAGUGAUGAAGGUCUUCGGAUCGUAAAACUCUGUUAUUAGGGAAGAACAAAUGUGUAAGUAACUAUGCACGUCUUGACGGUACCUAAUCAGAAAGCCACGGCUAACUACGUG
rnacentral:rRNA from 1 species